GCCCCGGUGGCUCAUCGGUCUAAGCACGCGCACCAUAACUGCGGUGACCCGGUUCGAUUCCGGCUCGGGUCA